CAGUCGCCGCGGUAAUACGAAGGGUUCAAGCGUUAAUCGGAAUUACUGGGCGUAAAGCGUGCGUAGGCGGUUUGUUAAGUCUGCUGUGAAAUCCCCGGGCUCAACCUGGGAAUGGCAGUGGAUACUGGCAAGCUAGAGUGUGUCAGAGGAUGGUGGAAUUCCCGGUGUAGCGGUGAAAUGCGUAGAGAUCGGGAGGAACAUCAGUGGCGAAGGCGGCCAUCUGGGACAACACUGACGCUGAGGCACGAAAGCGUGGGGAGCAAACAGGAUUAGAUACCCGCGUAGUCCCUGUCUCUUAUAC
rnacentral:rRNA from 1 species